rnacentral:lncRNA from 1 species
UGCCUUUUUACUAUACUGUUUCACCACUUAGUCCUUUUUUUUUUAAAAAAAAAAAAAACUUGGCUUAAAGACACAGCUGCUAGAACACGUGAGUAUAAAAAACUUUUUCUCUUUUCUCCUUAAGUUAAAUUGGAAUCAGCAGUUUUUUCUUUUUCUUCCCUUUAAUCUUAAGGGGCAGCUGGGUAGCUCAGUAGAGUGAGAGCCAGCCCUAGAGGCAGAAGGUCCUGGGUUCAAAUCGGACCUCAGAUACUUCCCAGCUGUGUGACUCUGAUAGACAGAAAACAGCUGUUUUUAAAUCUCAGCAACAGGACUCUAAAGUCCUGGCUGGAAGAACUGUUUCUAAAUAUCCUUUCCCUUAAGGAACAACUUCCUGGAUUAAAAAAAAAAAACCCUGUGGAAAGUUUGUUGCUUUGCCCUGCUCCCCACGUAUUUUGUGAAAUUACAAAAUAUACAUAUAAAAAUGAGUACUACAUUCUUUGACAAUUAUAUGGCAGCUGAAGAAGUAGGGGCAUUGAGGAAUGAAGGAUACCUCCAAAUUUUUAUAUUAAUAGGUACUGUCAUUUUUGUACUCCUCAAUACUAUAUUUAGAGAUGAAAAAAUAAAAAAUAUUGAGGAUAAAAUAAAACAAAAUGAGGAUAAAAUAAAACAAAAUGAGGAUAAAAUAAAACAAAAUGAGGAUAAAAUAAAACAAAAUGAGGAUAAAAUAGAAAAUAUUGAGGAUAAAAUAGAAAAUGUUGAGGAUAAAAUAGAAAAAAAUGAGGAUAAAAUAGAAAAUAUUGAGGAUAAAAUAGAAAAUAUUGAGGAUAAAAUAGAAAAAAUUGAGGAUAAAAUAGAAAAAAUUGAGGAUACAAUAGAAAAAAUUGAGGAUAAAAUAGGAAAUAUUGAGAAUAAAAUAGAAAAACUUGAGGAUAAAAUAGGAAAUAUUGAGAAUAAAAUAGGAAAUAUUGAGGAUAAAAUGGGAGAUAUGGAAGAUAAAAUAGGAAAAAUUGAGGAAAAAAUGCAAGCCCAAUUAGAAGAUCUAAAAUGUUUCUUACAGGAUCAAUGGGCAAACACCCACUCUACCAGAAACAGACCUGUUUCUGAACCUUUGAAUGAGGAAAUUUCCUUCCCUGAAAUAGAGAUGGACAACACCUUCCCUAUAGCCCAGUUAACAGAUUGCUUCUCUCGUGCAGUGCAAAUCUUGUCUGAAUUUAAUCCCCAAAACCCUUCCCCUGCAAUCCCAGCUUCUCAUGUUCCUUCUCCUACAGAAAACCAAAUUCCAAUGCAAGGGAGAUCUUGUCCUCCUAGAGAAACCUGUCCUUGUCAAACUGACUCACAGGUGCAAAAUUCAACUAGAGGCCUGUUUCCUCUAAGAGAAGUAUCUGAAAUAGGACGAAAUGGG